rnacentral:rRNA from 1 species
UACGGGGGGGGUAAGCGUUGUUCGGAAUUACUGGGCGUAAAGGGCUCGUAGGCGGCCAACUAAGUCAUACGUGAAAUCCCUCAGCUUAACCGGGGAACUGCGUCUGAUACUGGAUGGCUUGAGUUUGGGAGAGGGACGCGGAAUUCCAGGUGUAGCGGUGAAAUGCGUAGAUAUCUGGAGGAACACCGGUGGCGAAGGCGGCAUUCUGGACCGAAACUGACGCUGAGGCGCGAAAGCCAGGGGAGCAAACGGG